rnacentral:rRNA from 1 species
UGGGGAAUUUUGGACAAUGGGCGAAAGCCUGAUCCAGCAAUGCCGCGUGUGUGAAGAAGGCCUUCGGGUUGUAAAGCACUUUUGUCCGGAAAGAAAUCCUUGGCUCUAAUACAGUCGGGGGAUGACGGUACCGGAAGAAUAAGCACCGGCUAACUACGUGCCAGCAGCCGCGGUAAUACGUAGGGUGCAAGCGUUAAUCGGAAUUACUGGGCGUAAAGCGUGCGCAGGCGGUUUGCUAAGACCGAUGUGAAAUCCCCGGGCUCAACCUGGGAACUGCAUUGGUGACUGGCAGGCUAGAGUAUGGCAGAGGGGGGUAGAAUUCCACGUGUAGCAGUGAAAUGCGUAGAGAUGUGGAGGAAUACCGAUGGUGAAGGCAGCCCCCUGGGCCAAUACUGACGCUCAUGCACGAAAGCGUGGGGAGCAAACAGGAUUAGAUACCCUGGUAGUCCACGCCCUAAACGAUGUCAACUAGUUGUUGGGGAUUCAUUUCCUUAGUAACGUAGCUAACGCGUGAAGUUGACCGCCUGGGGGAGUACGGUCGCAAGAUUAAAACUCAAAGGAAUUGACGGGGUCAUAGCUGUUUCCU